rnacentral:rRNA from 1 species
UAACGGCGAGUGAAGCGGGACUAGCUCAGGAUGUGAAUCUGCGCUUUUAUGGCGCCGAAUUGUGGUCUGUAGACUUUGACAUUAUUUGCCGGGCCAAGUUCCUUGGAAAAGGACAGCUGAGAGGGUGACACUCCCGUCCGCCUGGCAGAGUGAGUCAUUUGUCAACGAGUCGAGUUGUUUGGGAUUGCAGCUCUAAUUUGGUGGUAAAUUCCAUCUAAAGCUAAAUAUUGGUGGGAGACCGAUAGCGUACAAGUACCGUGAGGGAAAGAUGCAAAGAACUUUGAAAAGAGAGUUAAAGAGUACCUGAAACUGCUGAAACGGAAGCGAAGGAAACCAGUGUUUGUUUGUUCAUAUUUCCCUAGCCACUUGUGGCUUGGGCGCUGUGGGCUUGCGUGAGUUUGGGUUGGUUGAUUCCUUUGGAAGAGCGCAGUCAGAGUUGAUGUCUGUUGCUAGCACUGGAUUUGACUGAUGCAGACGAAAUGGUUUUCUUUACCCCGUCUUGAAACACGGACCAAGGAGUCUAACAUAUGUGCGAGUACAGGGGUGUCAAACCCCCGUGCGCAAUGAAAGUGACAGUGGUUGGAAUUUUUGCACAAUCCGCCGGCCUCAAUCCUUCGGGAGAACGGUCUGAGUGUGAGCAUACAUGUUGGGACCCGAAAGAUGGUGAACUAUGCCUGAAUAGGGUGAAG